GAUGAACGCUGACAGAAUGCCUAACACAUGCAAGUCAACCUGCGGCGGACGGGUGAGUAACGCGUAAAGAACUUGCCUCACAGAUAGGGACAACAUUUGGAAACGAAUGCUAAUACCUGAUACUGUGAGAGAGCUUUGCGUCCCAUUAGCUAGUUGGAGAGGUAACGGCUCACCAAGGCGAGGAUGGGUAGCCGGCCUGAGAGGGUGAUCGGCCACAAGGGGACUGGGGCACGACCCUUACGCCUACUGGAGGCAUGGGUGGGGGAUUUUGGACGAUGGACCAAUGUGUGAACCAGGUAUUCGGUUUGCACAAUGAAGUUUUCGGAAUGAAAAGUACUUUCAGUUGAGAAGCGUUACCAACAGAAGAAGUGACGGCUAACUACGUGCCAGCAGCCGCGGUAAUAC
rnacentral:rRNA from 1 species